rnacentral:misc_RNA from 1 species
UGGAUGGUAUUGGACGUACCUUGAAAAGCGGUUAGAUCAUUACCUCCAAGAGAAACAGUGGGAUCAAGCUUCAGUAGCACUCGCAUUGGGAAUCUAUGGCCUGAUUUUGUUCCCGGGACCAUUAGGAAUCAUAACCUGCAGCACGGUGGAAGUAUUCUGGGCAGUAGAAAGGCAGGAGGUCAAUCCGAUACCGGCAAUUCUUG